rnacentral:rRNA from 1 species
GACGAACGCUGGCGGCGUGCUUAACACAUGCAAGUCGAACGGACCCUUUGGGGUUAGUGGCGAACGGGUGAGUAACACGUGGGUGAUCUGCCCUGCACUUUGGGAUAAGCCUGGGAAACUGGGUCUAAUACCGGAUAGGACUACGCACUGCAUGGUGUGUGGUGGAAAGCUUUUGCGGUGUGGGAUGGGCCCGCGGCCUAUCAGCUUGUUGGUGGGGUGAUGGCCUACCAAGGCGACGACGGGUAGCCGGCCUGAGAGGGUGACCGGCCACACUGGGACUGAGAUACGGCCCAGACUCCUACGGGAGGCAGCAGUGGGGAAUAUUGCACAAUGGGCGCAAGCCUGAUGCAGCGACGCCGCGUGAGGGAUGACGGCCUUCGGGUUGUAAACCUCUUUCGCCAGGGACGAAGCGCAAGUGACGGUACCUGGAGAAGAAGGACCGGCCAACUACGUGCCAGCAGCCGCGGUAAUACGUAGGGUCCGAGCGUUGUCCGGAAUUACUGGGCGUAAAGAGCUCGUAGGUGGUUUGUCGCGUUGUUCGUGAAAACUCACAGCUUAACUGUGGGCGUGCGGGCGAUACGGGCAGACUGGAGUACUGCAGGGGAGACUGGAAUUCCUGGUGUAGCGGUGGAAUGCGCAGAUAUCAGGAGGAACACCGGUGGCGAAGGCGGGUCUCUGGGCAGUAACUGACGCUGAGGAGCGAAAGCGUGGGGAGCGAACAGGAUUAGAUACCCUGGUAGUCCACGCCGUAAACGGUGGGUACUAGGUGUGGGUUUCCUUCCUUGGGAUCCGUGCCGUAGCUAACGCAUUAAGUACCCCGCCUGGGGAGUACGGCCGCAAGGCUAAAACUCAAAGGAAUUGACGGGGGCCCGCACAAGCGGCGGAGCAUGUGGAUUAAUUCGAUGCAACGCGAAGAACCUUACCUGGGUUUGACAUGCACAGGACGCCGGCAGAGAUGUCGGUUCCCUUGUGGCCUGUGUGCAGGUGGUGCAUGGCUGUCGUCAGCUCGUGUCGUGAGAUGUUGGGUUAAGUCCCGCAACGAGCGCAACCCUUGCCUCAUGUUGCCAGCACGUUAUGGUGGGGACUCGUGAGAGACUGCCGGGGUCAACUCGGAGGAAGGUGGGGAUGACGUCAAGUCAUCAUGCCCCUUAUGUCCAGGGCUUCACACAUGCUACAAUGGCCGGUACAAAGGGCUGCGAUGCCGUGAGGUGGAGCGAAUCCUUUCAAAGCCGGUCUCAGUUCGGAUCGGGGUCUGCAACUCGACCCCGUGAAGUCGGAGUCGCUAGUAAUCGCAGAUCAGCAACGCUGCGGUGAAUACGUUCCCGGGCCU